UCCUCGAUAGCUCAAUCGGCAGAGCAACCGGCUGUUAACCGGUAGGUUCCUAGUUCAAAUCUAGGUCGAGGAG
rnacentral:tRNA from 1 species